GACAGGAGAUGCAAGUGUUAUCCGGAAUGAUUGGGCGUAAAGGGUCUGUAGGUGGUUUGAAAAGUCUGUUGUUAAAUACUAGGGCUUAACCCUGGUCAGGCAAUAGAAACUAUUAGACUAGAGUACGGUAGAGGCAGAGGGAAUUUUCGGUGGAGUGGUGAAAUGCGUAGAUCUCGAAAAGAACACCAAUGGCGAAGGCACUCUGCUGGGCCGAUACUGACAUUGAGAGACGAAAGCUAGGGGAGCAAAAGGG
rnacentral:rRNA from 1 species